UACGUAGGGGCCUAGCGUUGUCCGGAUUUAUUGGGCGUAAAGAGCUCGUAGGCGGUGUGUCGCGUCGGCCGUGAAAACUUGCAGCUUAACUGUGGGCGUGCGGGCGAUACGGGCAGACUGGAGUACUGCAGGGGAGACUGGAAUUCCUGGUGUAGCGGUGGAAUGCGCAGAUAUCAGGAGGAACACCGGUGGCGAAGGCGGGUCUCUGGGCAGUAACUGACGCUGAGGAGCGAAAGCGUGGGGAGCGAACAGG
rnacentral:rRNA from 1 species